rnacentral:rRNA from 1 species
AAAAGAUCAAGAGCGGAGCGGAGAAGACCGAAGACCACCAAACCCAACGUGUGCGGGCUCACUUUGUUUAACAGUCGUCCUCCUCUCCCUCCUCCUAUUCCGCUGACAACCGCAGCAACUCCCACCUCCACCGUGGUGGCGCAGUGGCGGCCGGGGAUCGAGACCAACGCGAGAAAAAGUCUGGUGCCGUCCAGCUUCCAGGAUUCUCCACCAGUGAGUCCUUUGCUCCUCCCCUCUUGCUUCCCCGGUAGUUGGUUCUUGCCGGCGCGUGGAGGGGGAUGGGAUUUUUCCAGCUCUCGGGUCAGUUGCUCCGUUGAUUCUUCAGCUGCGGGGAGGUCACCUGGCGGCUCCGCCGGCCGGGCGCCGGUUUUUUCGUUUCUUCCGUUUUAGGUGACCUGUGACUCAAAUCUUGGCCUGGUCUUCGCUAUCUGAAGACCUGACAUCCCUCAUCAAUUUCAAGUGUGCCUGGAGAGGGGUCUACCAGAUUUUGCAAGAACAAGAUCUUGCAGUUCUGCAUACUCUGCCACUGGAUUUGGCGAUGGAGAGGCAGUCCAGCUCCCGGUUCGGCGCGCUGGAGAAGCUCAAGAGCUUCCGGGGCAUAGAGAAGCAGAGGAGCUUCAAGUUCCUGUCCAUGGAGAAGCAGCAGAGCUUCAAGGAGAGGCGGAGCCGGGACAGCCCCGGCAAGAGGGGCGACAGCGCGCUCCACCUCGCGGCGAGGGCCGGCAAUGUCUCCCACGCCCAGAGGAUCUUCGCCGACUGCGAUCCGGAGCUGGUGGGGGAGCUGGCCGCCCACCAGAACCUGGACGGCGAGACGGCGCUCUACGUGGCCGCCGAGAAGGGGCACGUCGACGUCGUGUGCGAGAUACUCAAGGCCUGCGACGUGCAGUCAGCAGGGCUCAAGGCGGCCAACAGCUUCGAUGCCUUCCAUAUCGCUGCGAAACAGGGCCAUCUGGAUGUUCUGCAGGAGCUAUUGCAGGCAUUUCCUGCGUUAGCUAUGACGACGAGUUCUGUGAAUGCCACAGCUUUAGACACCGCCGCAACGCAGGGCCACAUUGGUAUCGUCAAUCUUCUACUGGAUACAGACGCAAGCCUUGCCAGGAUCGCAAGAAGUAACGGGAAGACAGUUUUGCAUUCGGCCGCAAGAAUGGGUCAUGUGGAGGUGGUAGCGUCGUUGUUGAAUAAAGAUCCAGAUAUUGGUUUCAGAACAGACAGGAAGGGUCAAACAGCACUGCACAUGGCUUCUAAAGGCCAGAAUGCUGAAAUUCUGCUUGAGCUAUUGAAGCCCAAUGUCUCAGUAAUCCAUUUGGAGGAUAACAAGGGGAAUAGGGCACUGCAUGUUGCAACGCGCAAGGGCAACACCGUUAUGGUUCAGACUUUAAUAUCCAUUGAAGAGAUUGAUAUCAAUGCAGUCAAUAAGGCUGGAGAGACUGCUUUUGCCAUUGCAGAGAAACAAGGCAACGAAGAGCUUGUUAACAUCCUGCGGGAGGUUGGUGGAAUAACUGCAAAAGAGCAAGUAAAUCCUCCGAAAUCAGCCAAGCAGCUUAAGCAAACAGUGAGCGAUAUCAAGCAUGACGUCCAGUCACAGAUCAAGCAAACGCGUCAGACCAAGAUGCAUGUCCACAAGAUCAAGAAGAGGAUUCAGAAGCUCCACAUUGGCGGGCUAAACAAUGCCAUCAACUCCAAUACCGUUGUCGCAGUACUUAUUGCCACGGUUGCCUUUGCAUCCAUAUUCACCGUUCCUGGUAAUUUUCUUGAGAGUAUGGACAAAGCGACUGAGCCCCAUAUGAGCUUAGGGCAAGCACUGGUAGCAAGCAGGCCAGCCUUUAUAAUCUUCCUGGUCUUCGAUUCCCUGGCUCUCUUUAUCUCGCUUGCGGUCGUCGUCGUCCAGACUUCCCUGAUUGUUGUUGAGCAGAAGGCGAAGCAGAAGAUGGUGUUUGUGAUGAACAAGUUGAUGUGGCUCGCGUGCCUCUGCAUAUCAGCAGCCUUCAUAGCGCUGACCUAUGUCGUGGUGGGCCGCAAUGACGAGUGGCUGGCCUGGUGCACGAUGGCGAUCGGCACCGUGAUUAUGCUCACCACCAUUGGUUCUAUGUGCUAUUGCAUCAUCAGCCACAGGAUGGAAGCGCAGAGCAUGAGGAGGAUCAGGAGGUCCUCCAUGAGCCAGUCAUGGUCCAUAUCAGUCGACUCGGACACGGAGCUAGACAUGACCAGCAGAAACAAGACGAUGUAUGCGCUCUAGGACGAUUGGUCGAUGACCGACACCUCGUGCGGCAGAGUCAUGUAUAUAUCAUAGCCCGUUUGCCCGAGCCCGCAACACGGCAUUCAGCGGAUUCGACUCGAGAUGUAUCUAGGCCUAGGAGCAUGGUAGCUGUAUGUAUCAUGUAUGUAUGCAAUGCAAGUGAAGCCUCCUUUGCACAAACAAAGGGAGGCAUGUGGAUGCAGCUCCUGGGUAGACUGGUUCCAGGCAGAGCCACUUUUUAUAGGCACUAUAUAUAGGAGUAGUAGUACUUGUGAAGCAAAGAUGUUUUGCUCUUAUGCUUACUACCACUGUGGACGAUGAUGAUGAUGACAAUCCAUACAAUUAUGUAUACCAACCAGUAUAGUAGAAUAAAAUUGCCAUUUUGUCA